AGGCAGCAGCCAAGCAGCACCAAGUUGCUGUGUAAGCAGGCAGUGCCCUGGAUUAGUUGAUUUCUGCCUCACUCCCUGAUGUCUGAGUUUGGAGAUGUACCAAGAACUGGUAGUUUUUGCAGUGGGAUGUUCCCUAGAAACUGCACAGAGCUGAGCCAAGGAACUUAAAGGGACUGAGCAAGCAAAGGCAAGAAAGAAUGAAGAAGGGAACUGAGGCAGCAGCCAAGCAGCACCAAGUUCCUCUACAACCAGGGAAGCUGUAGAGGGGGGCUCUUCCUUUCCCUGCACUGUAGGUGCAGGAGAGGCUCACCACUGAAGCUGAGCCAGGAGACUGGGCCGUGGAGGUAGGCCCGGCGCUCGGGGAAGAGUCCCAGGUGGAAUUGGAGCCGAGCCCAGAGCUGGGGAGCUGCUGCCAAAGCUGAGCGGGGGCAGCCGAGAACUGCUGUGGAGGAAGGAAGAUUCCAGGCCGGGGACCUGGAUAAGCUGCACUGCAGCAGCCCCUGGACCAAGGGGAGACCCCCAGAGGGAGAGAUCACCAGCAGCAGAAGAGCAAGGACUCACAGCUGUCUUCUUGGAGUUGGAGAAACUGGGGCAAGCGGGCAGGAAGAAGAGAAGCCCCG